GGAGUGAGACGGCGGCGACGAGGAAAGUUUAUUUUUUUGGAGGCGGUGUUUCCCUCCUUCCCCUGCCAUUUGUUUGCAUCUUGAGAUAAGCUGGUAAGGCGGGUAAAAGCGGCUCCUGCAGAAGCGCCGAGGAGGAGGCGGUGGGCUUCGCGGCUGCACCGCGGCGAACGGAGAGGCGACGAUCGUGGCUUCUUGUGGUAAUUUGACUUUUGCACUGAAUGUAGCCAGGACAGGUCCUAGUGGGCUUCAAUAGCCCUAAGAAGCUGUCAAGAAUUUCAUAUUUCAGCAGAAUUUUGCACAGAUUCUGUUUCCAUGCAAACUGAUGAGGGAGAAAUUUUGGAAGAAGGCAGUUCCAAGAUGGAACAUGAGGAUUUUGUAAUGGAAGGGCAUGGCAAGACUCCACCUCCUGGUGAAGAAAACAAACAGUGA